rnacentral:lncRNA from 1 species
AUGCGGUGCUUGGGUGGAAAUAGCAGGGAGGUUAAUUCCCGGAGCUCACCCGCCAUCCUGCUAGGAGCCAGCGCCAGGCAGGGAGCGGGGAGAGAGGCUGCUGACCCCGGCGGGUGUCGGGCCGGUGCCGCUUUCGCAGCAGUCUCCCUCCGGCCCCGGGAAGCGUCUGCUGCUGCCCUGCGGGAGCGCACAGGGGCAGGGGAAUCACCCCAGCGCGUGGCCGGGCCACGGGCGCAGCCGUGCUCCCGUCCUGGGGGGCUCCAGGCAGGGACUGGGGACAAGAGCUGUGCCGGGGAGGUAGAUCUGGGGAAAACCAGCACCUGGGUACCCAGGAGGCACAAAGGUGGUGCGAGGCCAUCGCGGCAGGCUGCCYGUGGCAGAAGAGGACUUUUCCUUCAAACGGAGAAGCGCCAUCAUGCCCCAGUACGGGCGUCACUGCCAGCACUGGGAGAGGGGUGGAGAAAUCCCUCGGAGGACGGUGCCGGGGGGGGAAUGCCAGCUCUGCCACCGCUCCUCCCCGCUCCGGGUGCAGAGGGCCGGGGCGAGACGCGGCGGUGGGGGAGCCCCGCUGCUCACCCUCGGCUCGCAGCUGGGGCRCGCUCGGCCCCCCUGCCGUGUCCCUCGCACCACGUGGACCGCAAGACUCGGAUACAAUGGGGUGAACUGAGGACAGAGCCGCCGCCGCCGCACUUCCAAAGAGUUUGUGCUUCUCCGUUAGCACUGUCGUAUCAGCUUGGGCUUAAUGUGCUGCAGACGUGCAUCUGUCCGCAAUGCAAGACCACAGCGUGUGUGCGUCCGCAUGUGUCUCGGGGAGCCUCUCCUCGCAGCGUGGCUGCCCGGCCGGGGCUGCAGCGCCGGCCUCACGCGGCCCCCCCGCUGCACGCUGCCGUGCUUCCAGCCUUGGAGCCUUUUGGCUGGCCGGCGGGGGUCUGCAAGGGAUGUUCCCGGGGCGGUGUCUGUCUGGCUCUGGUCAGACGGCUCGGCUGGCCGGUGGCUGACUCUGCUUGCAGGGGAGCGGCUCCGGGAACUCUGCCCGUCCGGCCCAGCCUCGUGGCGCGGCUCCUCCUUUCCGAGAGCAGCGUUUCGCAGGCGUUGGCCGUGCGGCGCGGCCUUGGCAUCGCCUGCCGGCGGGGACGUUGCGGGGGGCCGCCCUCCUCUCGCGGGCGCGGGGCAUCGCAGGGUGCGCGAGGCAGGUCCGGAGGAGCGAGGUCGGGAUGUCUGGGCCCUCGGCGCUGGGCUAUUGCAUUCCCUCCCCGGGCUAUUGCGUUCCCUCCCUGCGCUCCAGAGCUCCGGGGCGGCCUUUCCGGGGCGCUGAACACCCCCAGGGCCAAUGCAGCCCAGCAGGACCGUGCUAGCCCAGCACCACUGGGAACCAGUGCAUUCCCAUUUUGUCACACCAGGGCACCCUGCUCCCUAGGGAUGCUGCCCCCACGCCAGCCCCAGGCAGCAGAGCCGCUGGCUGGGUUAACAGCCCCGCUGGGCGCCCCGGGGCAACGGCAGCGCUUCCAGCUGCRCCUUUCCAAGACUUUUACAGGAGGAGCGAGGGGUUUGGGAGCCACGAGAGCAAUCAGCAACAUCCACGCAGCUUGCUCCUGGUCGGCAGUGGCUCUGCAGCUUUCCCAGGCUGGCGAGGAGCGGAGCACAUGCCCGUUUCCAGACAAUGGACCCGCUUCCGCGCAGGAAGCGAGGUCGGAUUUGUUCUCCCUGCUUUGCCCCCUCCGGCCAGUUACAAAGGGGCCAAGCCAUUGUCUGAACCAUUUCCAUGAGUCAGGCACCGGUAUCCUGCGACGCGGAGGCCGGGACUCGCAGCCAGCCCGAAGCGGGCGGCGUUACCGCUGCGGCCAGCGAGCCCCCGCAGGCUCCGCGCAGGGCGGGGGGCUUGGGAAAAGGAAGGCGAGUGCCGGCUGGGCCUUCCCGCUCCGUGCCCCCCGCUCCGGCGGCGGCGGGAUCUUUGCCCCCGCCAGCUUUCCCGGCCCCUCCRCCCAUUGUGCCGGCUUCCUCCUGCCGAGGGAAGCAGAAAGCGCCGAGGGCUACGGCAGGGUGUGGGGAGCAGGGGACAGGGUCCCGGCGUGUGGGGCUGGUGGCACCGCGGGUACCACCGGCGUCACCGCCGCCUCCGGCACCCGGCCCGCGCCCGGGCGGCCCCAGCAUGGGGGGGCGAGAUGCCGGGCGGGCGGCAGGAUGCUGCCGGGCACCGGGUGGCAGGGAAGGCCCCCGCGGCCCCCCGGGAAGGGGGGGGGGAGGAAGGAAAGGAAAGGAAAGUGA